rnacentral:lncRNA from 1 species
ACAUAAUCCCUAUUUUUCCAACUUGAAGCAACCAAUUCUUUGUUUAUUUUCUUAUUGAUCAUUGUCAAGACAACCAUUUCAACACACUUUUUAUUGUUUUGUUUUAUAUUUGGCAAACAUUAUACUUAAUAAUUCAAUUGUUCCUUGCGGGAUCGAUAUCUGUCCUUAGGAUCAAUUAUUACUUCUGACAAUGCCGUGCACUUACCAUAUAAA